UACAGAGGGGGCAAGCGUUGUUCGGAAUUACUGGGCGUAAAGGGCGCGUAGGCGGCCUGCUAAGUCGAACGUGAAAUCCCUGGGCUCAACCCAGGAACUGCGUCCGAUACUGGUUGGCUUGAAUCCGGGAGAGGGAUGUGGAAUUCCAGGUGUAGCGGUGAAAUGCGUAGAUAUCGGCAGGAACACCCAGGGGGAAACCAGUCGACUGGGCAGCACCUGACGCUGAGGUGCGAGAGCGUGGGGAGCGAACCGG
rnacentral:rRNA from 1 species